UGCACGAGUAGAAGCGUUCAGCAGUGCCCCCAGCCUGGCCGGCGGGCACGGCCGGAAAUUGCUCAGCGU
ncrna:unclassified sequences NMT1 RNA